rnacentral:rRNA from 1 species
AUAGGGGAGCCGGAGGGAAACCGAGUCUUAACCGGGCGUUAAGUUGCAGGGUAUAGACCCGAAACCCGGUGAUCUAGCCAUGGGCAGGUUGAAGGUUGGGUAACACUAACUGGAGGACCGAACCGACUAAUGUUGAAAAAUUAGCGGAUGACCUGUGGCUGGGGGUGAAAGGCCAAUCAAACCGGGAGAUAGCUGGUUCUCCCCGAAAGCUAUUUAGGUAGCGCCUCGUGAACUCAUCUCCGGGGGUAGAGCACUGUUUCGGCUAGGGGGCCAUCCCGGCUUACCAACCCGAUGCAAACUGCGAAUACCGGAGAAUGUUAUCACGGGAGACACACGGCGGGUGCUAACGUCCGUCGUGAAGAGGGAAACAACCCAGACCGCCAGCUAAGGUCCCAAAGUCAUGGUUAAGUGGGAAACGAUGUGGGAAGGCCCAGACAGCCAGGAUGUUGGCUUAGAAGCAGCCAUCAUUUAAAGAAAGCGUAAUAGCUCACUGGUCGAGUCGGCCUGCGCGGAAGAUGUAACGGGGCUAAACCAUGCACCGAAGCUGCGGCAGCGACGCUUAUGCGUUGUUGGGUAGGGGAGCGUUCUGUAAGCCGUUGAAGGUGGCCUGUGAGGGUUGCUGGAGGUAUCAGAAGUGCGAAUGCUGACAUAAGUAACGAUAAAGCGGGUGAAAAGCCCGCUCGCCGGAAGACCAAGGGUUCCUGUCCAACGUUAAUCGGGGCAGGGUGAGUCGACCCCUAAGGCGAGGCCGAAAGGCGUAGUCGAUGGGAAACGGGUUAAUAUUCCCGUACUUGGUGUUACUGCGAAGGGGGGACGGAGAAGGCUAUGUUGGCCGGGCGACGGUUGUCCCGGUUUAAGCGUGUAGGUGUGUGUUCCAGGUAAAUCCGGUUCACUUUAACACUGAGGCGUGAUGACGAGGCACUACGGUGCUGAAGUAACAAAUGCCCUGCUUCCAGGAAAAGCCUCUAAGCAUCAGGUAACAUCAAAUCGUACCCCAAACCGACACAGGUGGUCAGGUAGAGAAUACCAAGGCGCUUGAGAGAACUCGGGUGAAGGAACUAGGCAAAAUGGUGCCGUAA